rnacentral:rRNA from 1 species
GACGAACGCUGGCGGCGUGCUUAACACAUGCAAGUCGAACGGAAAGGCCCUGCUUUUGUGGGGUGCUCGAGUGGCGAACGGGUGAGUAACACGUGAGUAACCUGCCCUUGACUUUGGGAUAACUUCAGGAAACUGGGGCUAAUACCGGAUAGGAGCUCAUGCUGCAUGGUGGGGGUUGGAAAGUUUCGGCGGUUGGGGAUGGACUCGCGGCUUAUCAGCUUGUUGGUGGGGUAGUGGCUUACCAAGGCUUUGACGGGUAGCCGGCCUGAGAGGGUGACCGGCCACAUUGGGACUGAGAUACGGCCCAGACUCCUACGGGAGGCAGCAGUGGGGAAUAUUGCACAAUGGGCGGAAGCCUGAUGCAGCAACGCCGCGUGCGGGAUGACGGCCUUCGGGUUGUAAACCGCUUUCGCCUGUGACGAAGCGUGAGUGACGGUAAUGGGUAAAGAAGCACCAGCUAACUACGUG